rnacentral:tRNA from 1 species
GGGCAGAUAGCUCAGCUGGUAGAGCACAGCACUGAAAAUGCUGGUGUCGCCGGUUCGAUCCCGGCUCUGCCCA